rnacentral:rRNA from 1 species
CCGUACACAAAAGCGCAUGUGCUGUGAGCUCGAUGAGUAGGGCGGGACACGUGGUAUCCUGUCUGAAUAUGGGGGGACCAUCCUCCAAGGCUAAAUACUCCUGACUGACCGAUAGUGAACCAGUACCGUGAGGGAAAGGCGAAAAGAACCCCGGCGAGGGGAGUGAAAAAGAACCUGAAACCGUGUACGUACAAGCAGUGGGAGCACAGGUUUACCUG